AUUGAACGCUGGCGGCAGGCCUAACACAUGCAAGUCGAACGAGUGGCGGACGGGUGCGUAAUGUCUGGGAAACUGCCUGAUGGAGGGGGAUAACUACUGGCAACGGUAGCUAAUACCGCAUACCAUCAGAUGUUCCCAGAUGGGAUUAGCUUGGUGGUGGGGUAACGGCUCACCAAGGCGACGAUCCCUAGCUGGUCUGAGAGGAUGACCAGCAACACUGGAACGAGGACACGGUCCAGACUCCUACGGGAGGCAGCAGUGGGGAAUAUUGGACAAUGGGCGCAAGCCUGAUGCAGCCAGGCCGCGGGUAUGAAGAAGGCCUUCGGGUUGUAAAGUACGUUCAGCGGGGAGGCGUUACCCGCAGAAGAAGCACCGGCUAACUCCGUGCCAGCAGCCGCGGUAAUAC
rnacentral:rRNA from 1 species